AAAUUGAAGAGUUUGAUCAUGGCUCAGAUUGAACGCUGGCGGCAGGCCUAACACAUGCAAGUCGAGCGGUAGCACAGAGAGCUUGCUCUCGGGUGACGAGCGGCGGACGGGUGAGUAAUGUCUGGGAAACUGCCUGAUGGAGGGGAUAACUACUGGAAACGGUAGCUAAUACCGCAUAAUGUCGCAAGACCAAAGUGGGGGACCUUCGGGCCUCAUGCCAUCAGAUGUGCCCAGAUGGGAUUAGCUAGGUGGGGUAACGGCUCACCUAGGCGACGAUCCCUAGCUGGUCUGAGAGGAUGACCAGCCACACUGGAACUGAGACACGGUCCAGACUCCUACGGGAGGCAGCAGUGGGGAAUAUUGCACAAUGGGCGCAAGCCUGAUGCAGCCAUGCCGCGUGUGAAGAAGGCCUUCGGGUUGUAAAGCACUUUCAGCGGGGAGGAAGGCGUAAGGUUAAUAACCUUGCGAUUGACGUUACCCGCAGAAGAAGCACCGGCUAACUCCGUGCCAGCAGCCGCGGUAAUACGGAGGGUGCAAGCGUUAAUCGGAAUUACUGGGCGUAAAGCGCACGCAGGCGGUCUGUCAAGUCGGAUGUGAAAUCCCCGGGCUCAACCUGGGAACUGCAUUCGAAACUGGCAGGCUAGAGUCUUGUAGAGGGGGUAGAAUUCCAGGUGUAGCGGUGAAAUGCGUAGAGAUCUGGAGGAAUACCGGUGGCGAAGGCGGCCCCCUGGACAAAGACUGACGCUCAGGUGCGAAAGCGUGGGGAGCAAACAGGAUUAGAUACCCUGGUAGUCCACGCCGUAAACGAUGUCGAUUUGGAGGUUGUGCCCUUGAGGCGUGGCUUCCGGAGCUAACGCGUUAAAUCGACCGCCUGGGGAGUACGGCCGCAAGGUUAAAACUCAAAUGAAUUGACGGGGCCCGCACAAGCGGUGGAGCAUGUGGUUUAAUUCGAUGCAACGCGAAGAACCUUACCUGGUCUUGACAUCCACAGAACUUUCCAGAGAUGGAUUGGUGCCUUCGGGAACUGUGAGACAGGUGCUGCAUGGCUGUCGUCAGCUCGUGUUGUGAAAUGUUGGGUUAAGUCCCGCAACGAGCGCAACCCUUAUCCUUUGUUGCCAGCGGUCCGGCCGGGAACUCAAAGGAGACUGCCAGUGAUAAACUGGAGGAAGGUGGGGAUGACGUCAAGUCAUCAUGGCCUUACGACCAGGGCUACACACGUGCUACAAUGGCAUAUACAAAGAGAAGCGACCUCGCGAGAGCAAGCGGACCUCAUAAAGUAUGUCGUAGUCCGGAUUGGAGUCUGCAACUCGACUCCAUGAAGUCGGAAUCGCUAGUAAUCGUAGAUCAGAAUGCUACGGUGAAUACGUUCCCGGGCCUUGUACACCGCCCGUCACACCAUGGGAGUGGGUUGCAAAGAAGUAGGUAGCUUAACCUUCGGGAGGGCGCUUACCACUUUGUGAUUCAUGACUGGGGUGAAGUCGUAACAAGGUAACCGUAGGGGAACCUGCGGUUGGAUCACCUCCUUACCUUAAAGAA
rnacentral:rRNA from 1 species